rnacentral:rRNA from 1 species
UACGAAGGGGGCUAGCGUUGCUCGGAAUCACUGGGCGUAAAGGGUGCGUAGGCGGGUCUUUAAGUCAGGGGUGAAAUCCUGGAGCUCAACUCCAGAACUGCCUUUGAUACUGAGGAUCUUGAGUUCGGGAGAGGUGAGUGGAACUGCGAGUGUAGAGGUGAAAUUCGUAGAUAUUCGCAAGAACAUCAGUGGCGAAGGCGGCUCACUGGCCCGAUACUGACGCUGAGGUGCGAAAGCGUGGGGAGCAAACAGG